AUUGAACGCUGGCGGCGUGCCUUACACAUGCAAGUCGAACGGCAGCACGGGUGCUUGCACCUGGUGGCGAGUGGCGAACGGGUGAGUAAUACAUCGGAACGUACCUUAUCGUGGGGGAUAACGCAGCGAAAGCUGUGCUAAUACCGCAUACGCCCUGAGGGGGAAAGCGGGGGAUCGCAAGACCAAGCGCGAUUAGGGCGGCCGAUGCCUGAUUAGCUUGUUGGUGGGGUAAAAGCCCACCAAGGCGACGAUCAGUAGCUGGGCUGAGAGGACGAUCAGCCACACUGGGACUGAGACACGGCCCAGACUCCUACGGGAGGCAGCAGUGGGGAAUUUUGGACAAUGGGGGCAACCCUGAUCCAGCAAUGCCGCGUGAGUGAAGAAGGCCUUCGGGUUGUAAAGCUCUUUUGUCAGGGAAGAAACACCGGCUCUAACACAGUCUGGGAAUGACGGUACCUGAAGAAUAAGCACCGGCUAACUACGUGCCAGCCGCCGCAGUAA
rnacentral:rRNA from 1 species